UUUCAUUGUGACUCAGAUGAAACCCAAUUUGACCAAUUUAAAUACGUCAAUGACGAGUGUGUGUCAAUUCAUUCCUAAAAUGAUGUUUUAAAGUAGUACUUUGAUAUUUUACUCAUGCUAACAUGAUAUGACUCUUUAAAAUGUUUGCAUGGAUGUUGAUUUUUAAAGUGUAUUUAUGACUUUGAAGAAAUCUUGUGACAUUUAAUUCUGUAUUGAUGCAGUUUGGACUUCCUUGCUUUCUCUGGUGGUUUUCUCCCUGCUAGUCUUUCUCAUCCUUUGUGCCCUUGACACCACUUUGACAAAGUGUUUCCCACUCUACCUUGUUCCCUGCUUUUUGUGCCCCUCGUUUAAAGAAUAUCCAAUUCUGCCUUGUAUACCCUCCUAUCUAACUUAUCUGACCAUGUGUCUUCACUCCUUUUUGGGUUAUAGACUUCCCUUCUUUAAUCUCUCCUCAUAGCAGUAGUAAUUGUUGACAAAAAUGAAUUUAACCUGACCGAACCCUUGUAUCCACAGGGGGAGAAGGGAAAGAAGGGCAAAAAAGGGCCUAAGGGCGAGAAAGGAGAACAGGGUGCCCCAGGAUUAGAUGCACCCUGCCCAUUGGGUCCGGAUGGAUUACCAAUGCCUGGUUGCUGGCAGAAGUGAUCACUCUAACCUGAAACGCAUGGAGUUUGUAAAUAAUGCUUCUUUUAUGGUAUUUAUAGUUUUUUAAUGGAAAAAAAAAGGAGUCAAAAAGAAAUAAGUCUAUGUGUGCAACAAUACAAAAGAAAAAAAAAGAUAACCGUCUGUAAGCUGCUUCUACUCACAUCGCUGUGUGGAAACAAAAACACGUGUGUGCGUCCCGCUGUCUCACAUCUGCUUCGUGAUGGAGUUCAGAUCCUCGGCUGCCGGCAGAACUCGUGUCUUUAGGUUUUUGCAUGGCUCGGACUGGAGCGUGGCAGCCCCGCCAGAUCCUAAGGGUUGGAAGGAGUGAGACGAGAAGAAGUGGAGUUGGGAAGUGGAGGAAAUGGGAUCUGGAUUGGCUUCUUAACACAAAACGCUAAGUGUCGUGUGCUGUUUUGUCUCCAUGAGCUCACCAACUAUUCAUGCGGCACCAUUUGCUCAAAGACUAAAAAAACAUUCGAAAAGGGAAAAAAAGACUGCACUGAGCUGACUGAACAUUGCUUUUCCCCCUCAACCCCCCAUCCCUUGAAAAAGCAUGAGUAGUGUACUAUAUUUAAAUGUAAUGUACAUACAUGUCACUGUUAUGUGAUUGUUUCAUAAUUUGUGUGGGAAAAAAAAAAUCUGAAAAAUCAGAAGGCCCAAAGCUCUGAAAUGGUAACUUUUUCUUCCCUUUUAAUCUUCUUAAGGGAGUCACACCGUGGCUUGUAGCCUGAGUACCCUCCUUCCCCUUCUGAGAGUAAAGGUGUCAGUACAUAUAUAUAUUUUUUGCUUUAUUUGUGGCGAGGCCUGCCGAGCGAACAGUCUCGUAAGGCUUUUGCUGUUGCACUCAAGGGGCUCGACAUCGUCAGUGCGGCGCUUCCUCAGGGUCGCGUAUCUCUGGACAAGAGUCUCUGCACUGGCAAGAAAACCAAUCAGUCUCACGCAGUUUGGAUUGGAGCCUGGACAGGAGUGCUUGGUGAGCACGGGAAUGGAAGUGGAUUCUGCAGGAGAGUCGCUCAUCGUUCUCCCUGUGAGAUGAAACAGGAGACGCUUCGAGAUCUUCUGAGAACGUUGAUAGAAUGCAGUUGUGAUUUUUUCUUUAUUCAUUUUUUAUUAUUUUUUCUUCUUUUUUUUUACACAUCAUUUGUAUUUUCUGUAAUAUAGCCUUUGGUGCCUCAAGCUUUUAUUCAUUCCUUUAUCAAAAGAGUUUAUACUUUAUUUUAAACCAUUUGGUUGGUGUUUAUUUCAAAAUGAAGGAGACAUUUUGUUUGGGAAGGACUGAAAAGACGUUGCGCACUGUUUUUGUUUUGAUAUGUUUUGUCUUCACCAAGAAUAACUCCGUCUGGUUAUCAGUAAGUUGGCAUUGAUUUCAACCAUAUGUCCACUAAAGCUGCUUAGUGUUUGCAUAAAACAUUGUGGCAGUGAAUGGAAGUAGCUGAAAGUGUUACUUUUAGCUACUUCCCUGGAAUAACUCACAAACGUUGUUCCAGGGACAUCUCCUCUCACACAACUCAAAUUCUCCAAGUUUAUAAGUUACUCUUGGUAUUGAAAACUCGCUUGCAAAUAUGCUGAAGUUGUGAGAGAUCUCGUGUACAGUGUGGUCAAGUUUUCUGCAUGAACACCGUUUAGAAAAUGUAGAUUUAAAAAGAAAACUGUAAUUUUUGAUGGAGUGUAUCCAAAGGCUAUUUAAAUCCAUUUAAGGUCUAAAGUAGAAAAGGUUAUUGUCAACAUAAUAGUCUAUAGCAAACUUCUUUACACCUAUAAAUCUUCUAUAUUGUCUUACAUACUGUAUAUGGUGACAAUAUAAUAUUGAAGUACAGGACAUUAAUCAUCUUCCACCAACACCAGUCUGGCCAGUUAUGUCACAUUCCUCACCACAUGGAGCAAACAUUGUCAGAAUUUAGGAUUUAUAUUUAUUUUAUCACACAAGUCCAUUUACCUUUUCAUAUUUCCAGCAUUAAAAUGACUUAUUUUGACAAUGUAGGUGCUAUGCAAGGCAAUAGUUUUUUCUUCUUCGUGUAUAGUGCAUUUCACAAGUAUUAAAAGCCCUUCUCGUAUUAUUACAUUUUGAGUUGUAACAACUAAAAUCUUUAAUAAAUUUCAUUGGGGUUUGUUGUAAUUGAUCAGAGUGAAGUAGUGCAUAAUUGUGAAGUGGAAGGUAAAUGGUUUUCAUUGGGGGAGGGGGGCUUGUGGAAAAAAAGGAGAUAAAAGUUUGAAAAGUGUGGUUUGCACAUGUAUUUGGGAUCCUAAUUGAAUUUUUUGUUGAGCAACCCUUCUUCUAACAUAGUGACAUCUAGAAUAGAGCUGCACAAUAUGAAAAAAUCUAGCAUAUCAUUUGUGUGUAGUGUGAACAUCCGCUCUUGUAUGGCUCUGUCCAACUAGCUAAAUAGUUGGCAAGUAAAACACAACUUUGUAACUUCCUUUGGAACAUAUUAGCCAACAAUUACUGCACUCUAGACAGUCCUUUCCAAUAUGAGUAUUACACACACUGAUCUGGUGAUGACAAUAUGUUUGUGAUGUAUUGUGCAGCCUUAAGCGAUACCCUGAUUGUUCUUUUCAGAAUAGCAUAGAGAUUAAAUUAACAGAUUACGUAUCGUAGCAAAACUAGCUAAAUACAUGCGCACGGCACACUUCAAAGUAUUGAUUUGGAAAAAGCAAAUGUAGAAUACUAUGUGGCAUGUAUCCACUCAAAAGUUAGGCACUGCUUUGUGUUGAUUUAUCACAAAAUAUGUUUCAUCCCAAAAAUAUUGACAUUUGUAAUUGUAACAUGACAAGAUGUGAAAGAGUUCCAGGGGUGUAUAAACAUUUGCAAGGCACUGUACAGUCAGAUCUUAACCAUUUACUGUAGGAGCAGAUGUGGUAACAGCACGUCGAUCUGUGAGAAUGUUUCUGUUUAACUGUUCAUCUCAUCAUGACAAAGAGUGGAUGCACAUCUGUACAAACCAUUUCUUUUCAAUCAUACCAGCAGCUACAGCUAAAAAAAAAAGAAGCAGAUUUCUUUACAGCUGUUGGGGGUUUAUGUUUGUCUAAAAUAGGAGGGUUUUUUUAACAUUUAUUUGUGUAUUUGUUUCAGUAUUCUAAGUGGUGCAUUAUUUAUUUUUCUACAGUUUUCUUUUUGUAAAUGAAGGCAUUUUUGUUGGGUUCUGAGCAGCAUUCCUUUUUAGUUUCUGAUGCCAGUUUUUGUGUUGAUAUGACAGAACUUUAAGCUCAUAAUGAGGCAUCAUAAAACAAAUCUGCAAAUGUAACAUUGGUAGAAAUUGAGAGGGCAUUUGCAUGUUAUUGUAAUGUGUACUUAAUGUGCAUUUACGUCAAUUUAUAGGCCUUACAUCACACGAGUACAUCUGCUUCGUCGAACUUUGUGUGUCAACUAUGACGACACACCAAUUAUAAAUUCAUGACGGCCUUGUCUCGCUUUUUUUUUUCCUUCUUUGUCUCUUUACAUUGAAUGUAGUUUGAUAUAUAUGUAUAGUGGAAUAUUAAUGUACUGUUGAGAUGUGCUCAUUUGAUAUAAAGUGCAAUUUAUACUUUGGUUCAUGCGUGUAGCAUCAAAUGCUGCUUAACUAUCACACUACAGUGGUUUUCUUUAGCUUCAUUUGUUCAACCCUGUAUACCACUACCUGGAGACAUGGAGGGAUAUGUAAACACAGACUUUUAAUUAAAUCUUAAUUUACAGGAUUUUUUGUUUCAAUCUUUUUUCAAUCGAUAGUUGUGUCAACAUUUAAUAGUUUGUUUUGGUAAUUAUUUUUUGUUUUGUUUUGAUUACCAGCCUUUGCUUUAGUACAGCUUUUGUUCUCAUAAGGUGCUGUAACUUUAGAAUGUGCAGCUAUUUUUUUUUUUUUUAUUUUAUUAAACAUGGUUUGCUUGAGUUUGGUGUUAAAAGUUUCACAUUUAGUUUACUAAGCUAGACAUAAGUGCCAAAAUAUAUUAACUAUUGACUUUCUAUUGAGCUGCACAAUUGGUACUAAUAGGAUGCUGUGCUGCACAAAAGCCUCUUGCUUAAGGUUCCUCUGAGGCAGACUUUUUCAACUCUGGUCCUCAGGUACACUAUUCUGCAUGUUUUAGAUGUUUCCUUGCUUUAAUAAAAAUAACAGACAAUGGUAGUUCUUUAAAAAAAAAAAAAGUUAAUCAGCCAUCAAUUGAAAUCACGUGCGUCAAAGCAGGGAAACGUCUGCAACUUGCAGGGCAGUGUACCUUGAUAGCCAGUGUUGGAGAAGCACUGUACUAAAAGUUAGGACAGUGUUUCUAACUCUGAAUGGCAUGUGAACUGAUCAAAAAUUUGUCCUUUUGAUACUUUUUUUUUGUUUUAGUACCAAAAAACCUUUUUUAUUUUAUUUUCUAGUUUGGAGCAGAUUUAUUUCCUAAGUUUUCCAAGGUGUCUUUUUUUUCUUAGUUUGGCCCCUAGAAACAGUCAAAAAGAUAGAUAAGUGACGUUGGGUAUAUUUACCACAUUUGGACUUUAUUAAAUUUACUUUAUCUUGGUUGUGGAGGAAAACUUUCAGCUGGAUGGUUGUCAUUCACACUACAGCGCCUCUUGUGGCAAAAAGAAUUAUAACAUGCAGAAAAGUUGAUGUGAAUAAAAUCCCACAUUCACUGAAAAGACUUAUUUUUGUUUUCUAAACUAAAUUAAAAUAAAUAAUUUAUAAAGUUUUAAACACAAUAAGAAAAUCAGAAGUGAUCACAUUUGAUACUCCUUAAAUCUGUUUGCAUGUGGCUUUUAAGGGCAACUGAAAGAUGAACUAAAAUAGUUAAAACAUUUUGUCUGCCAGUAUGUCUUUGGUAUAUUGAAAAAAAAUACUGAUUAGACUAGAGGACACAGGGAAGUGCAAACAUUAUUUUCCACUGAUCCAAACUUUCCAAGAGAAAAAGCAGACACAAGACAAAAGAGUUGCAUCCACAAUGUUGUUGCUGCUGCAUUAAUGUUUAAGCACAGGGAUUUUCUUGGAUCAACAAAAAUUCUUAAGCCAAAUUGAAAGAGCAAAUUUGUCAUGUAUCUUAAUUCUGGUUUUGUUUGCAUAACUCAAACAAAAAGUUUGAGUUAUUGGACAUGUUUUUUAUAUGUUUUUCUUUCAGCCUUGUUUCUUUUAUUGAUGCAAUACCAACUUUAUCUACAUUUCUUGAUCUCACAUUCUGUAUUUUAAGCUGAUAUUUCAUGUGACUGUGCUGUUGGAGGAAAAUAAACCGUCUUUUAAGUA